rnacentral:rRNA from 1 species
AGUGGGGAAUCUUGCGCAAUGGGCGAAAGCCUGACGCAGCCAUGCCGCGUGAAUGAUGAAGGUCUUAGGAUUGUAAAAUUCUUUCACCGGGGAAGAUAAUGACGGUACCCGGAGAAGAAGCCCCGGCUAACUUCGUGCCAGCAGCCGCGGUAAUACGAAGGGGGCUAGCGUUGCUCGGAUUUACUGGGCGUAAAGGGCGCGUAGGCGGACAGUUUAGUCAGAGGUGAAAGCCCGGGGCUCAACCCCGGAAUUGCCUUCGAUACUGGCUGUCUUGAGUACGGGAGAGGUGUGUGGAACUCCGAGUGUAGAGGUGAAAUUCGUAGAUAUUCGGAAGAACACCAGUGGCGAAGGCGACACACUGGCCCGUUACUGACGCUGAGGCGCGAAAGCGUGGGGAGCAAA